AGGCAUUUAGCUCAAUGGCAGAGCCUUGGAUUUUACCAAGAGAUGAGGGUUCGAUUCCCUCACUGCCUU
rnacentral:tRNA from 1 species